UACGUAGGUCCCGAGCGUUGUCCGGAUUUAUUGGGCGUAAAGCGAGCGCAGGUGGUUUAUUAAGUCUGGUGUAAAAGGCAGUGGCUCAACCAUUGUAUGCAUUGGAAACUGGUAGACUUGAGUGCAGGAGAGGAGAGUGGAAUUCCAUGUGUAGCGGUGAAAUGCGUAGAUAUAUGGAGGAACACCAGUGGCGAAAGCGGCUCUCUGGUCUGUAACUGACGCUGAGGUUCGAAAGCGUGGGUAGCAAACAGG
rnacentral:rRNA from 1 species